GCCUAAAAUAUAAUAACAAUACAAGUAUUAGUGUGAAUUAUGAUGAACAUAGAAGAAGGAAGUUAUGGCAUUGUAAGGUUUGCUACGCAGGAGAUAUGGCGCCAUAGCUUACUUGCAUCCAUUCUAGCUAACAUCCUUGGCUAGGUAGGAGAAGGGUGCUAUUGCAUCAUAUCUCCUGUAUAGCAAAUCUUGCAUAUGCAAAAUGAUCAAAUGUGAAGAAACAUGGAAGCUAAUUAGCUAAGGCUAACAGAUUGCUUCAGUUUGUUUCGGUGGGGUUAGUUCUUCAGGGUCAUGAUGUCAUCUGUGGCGCCACUGUUAAGAUCAGUGUUCUUAAUUGUGGAUCUCGAAAAAUUGCCAAAAGUUAUAAGUCCUAUAAACGGAAAAUAGCGGUGAGCCCUCAGAAUGCUAUGCUACAGCGCUAGAGCACCUCUAUAUGGGCUAUUUGAUAACACUUAAGUUCUCUAGCUCACAAGUCAAAGUUUGCAUCCACAAUCCCCCUAACGAACACAAGCUCCAACUGGAAACAGGGACCAUAUUUCAGAGUUGCACAAGAGUGAAAAACAAAGACAAAGUUGACAAUAGAAAAGAUGAUGAGUCACCUGUAUGUUUGAAUGUCUAUUACGUUUAUCUAAAAGUAUUUUUAUUUACCCUCAAGAUCUUGGAAAUUCACCAUAGAUACAAAAAAUUGAAAAGGAAUUUCGCAGAUAAAUUGCAGAAAACCACUCCAUUGUCCAUACUGCAUCUUCAAUCCAAUAACUAUGGAUCAGUUACAUGAA